AUGUCAUUUUAUGGGUUAGAUCAUUUUAGAAAACAAAUUAAGGUAUCAUUUGCCGGUUAUCAUGUUUUCAGUGUAGAAUAUACUCAUUUAUGGAAAGUUGCAUGCAAAGAAUAUUCUCUGUUGGUCUGUUCCCUUUUUUUUCCAAUUACUGAAGGGGUUGGUCUCAUCUCUGGUGAAAAUAAUUGUUACAUUUGUCUUUCCUUACUGUGUAAAAAUGUCUUUGUUUUACAAUUUUUAUUAUGUUUUAAAAACAGACCAUUAGCAUUUUUAAUUAUUCACAUGCAUUAUAAUAAGAAUAGAACGUUAGAUACUACACAACAAUAUUAUGAUGAUUAAAAUUUGAAUAUAACGAAAUUAUCCUAAUUUUACAUUUGUAGAAAAAGCGUGGCUAAAAUUCAAAUUCAAGCCGUUUGAAUCGAGUCCACAAUGCUGCGGAUGGUUGAGCUCUUGAUAUAAAGCGAAGCAAACGCUUUGACGCUGAUCAUUUUCCAGGUUGUCUCUCAGUGAGUCAUAGAGCAGCAUGACGGUAGGUAGUGUAAACAUUGUCGGUCUGUGGUUAGACUUGUAGGGGAAGCUCUCUCCAGCAGAGGGGCACCUGCUUCUCAAAGCCGGGCCGCUUAAUCACUUUCAUCUGGGCCCCCUGCUGCCUCGCUAACCUGGUCUUACUUUAGAAAGCAGAUCUGUCUUUCACAUCCUCACACACGCCUCCCUUUCUUUUGCUUUCAGCCUCGGUUGUUUUACCUUUCUAAUUCGGCCCAGAUGUGACGGCCCGCUCCGCCGCCCGUUCUUCCCCCUCUCCCUCUCGCGCCCACCUGCUCGCUGACCUGCGGACCCCACACCCAGUCUCUCAUUUGAUUUCCCUUCUCUGGAGUGAAAGGGCUGUUCUGUAGCUCAUCGCAGCGCCUCUUUUUGCUUCGCCCCGUACUGCCUGGAGGGUCUGUGUUCUGCGUUGGUGCCGAGAAGCACUGGCAGACCCCUGUCUCAGUCGCAAGCCUUCAUGGCUUUUGUUACUCCUUCAACGACUCAAUCAGAAGCUCCAUGCCUGUGGCCUCUGAAUAAUCCACCUCCCAUGUAGAUGGCUCUAGACCAAGGACUCAUACAGGCAGUCUUUGAGGACGCACACACAAUAGCAGCGGUGUUAUUUUUGACUCGAGAUGUAUAGGAACUAUUUCAAUCUAAAAAUGAUUUCGACACACUCAUACUCUGAGGAAAUUAAAAUAUUGCCCAAUUAUCAUCUGAAGGAAUUUCAUUAUAGAAAAGAAAGGGCUGGUUUGUGGAAUCAUCUCGGCUUUAAUUGAAUUGGUCCGGUUGGACAUCCCAACUUGAUGGACAGCCCAGAUCUCUCUAGACCCACACAAGUCUGCGUCUGCCUCUGUUGGACAGGCCUCAGUAAAUAAUCUCUCACUGCUAAAUGCUCACUGUUAAUUGUGUUUCCUUUUUUCCCAGAUAAUUACGACAACACCUCUGCGCCUCAGCUUGAAGGACGCACUCCGCCAGGGCCUAAGCAGGUGCCUCUUACUGACUGACAAGAGCUGUCAAUCACUCGUAAAGAGCUCUCCACUUUCCUUCAGCUGUAUGCUGCGAUAUUCCCUUUUGUCAGUUUAUACCAAACACAAAAUGAAAAAGCCGGGGCUUAACCAGGUAGCAAACAGGCCCCAGACUGUCAAAGGGAAUUAGAGCGAGCAUGUCUGCUUCUCUCCACUCUAUCUAUGAGGCACUCGCAGCGCUGUUCCUCACACAUGAUAAGGGCUUUUACUUAUGGGACCUGCCGUGAUUAAGAGUCCCUGGGUAAUAGAGCCUUGCCUUUCUGCCGCCGUUACAAUAGUCGAUGAAAUUACUGACAUGAUUUUUCUUAGCCAAGAAGGAUAACCAUGCAUUUAAAGGCGCAGUUCACCCAAAAAUUGAUUUGUCAUUUACUCACCCACAUAUCAUUCCAAAGCUGCAUGACUUUCAUAUUUGGGGAGGAAAAAAAAGUUUGUAAUGCAUGUCCAUGGGGUCCAAUGUUGUUUAGAGCUCAGAAGUCUUCAAAAUAUCUAAUUUUGUGUUUCACAGAAUAAAGAAAGUAAGGUUUGAAAACAAACAUGAGGGUGAGUAAAAAUCAACAGAAUUUGCAUGUUUGGGUAAACUUUCCUUUUAAGAUGAAUGUAACAUGAAUGGUGACAACUUCUUUCAAAUUUUCAGUGGGAGAUAACUUAAAUUUCAGAACUUUUACAUAAGAAGACAGAUUACAUGGAAAAAGUCAUAAAGUUCCACUUUCAUUAUAUGCAGGACAGCAGUUCAGACUUUUCUCCCAAACAAGAAGACACAUUUUGGGGCAAACCAUCCCUUUAAUGUUCAUAAACCACUUGGUUCCUCAGUCAUACUUGCCAUUUCAGCACACAAACACUGGUUAGAUUAAGCAAACAGUACAAUUACAAAAAUAAAAAAAAUAAAAUAAAAAAGCUGUGCAUCUCGUCUGCUCAUUCUCCACAUCUUCCAUUUGCAUGGCUACAAUUAAGAAUGCUAAUAGAACAACGCAGACCCCGCCUUUGAGAAGGAUGGAAAGAGGCACCCCUAUUGUUAUUCUUAUACCUGACCUGGAGGGCACUGUCACGCUGUGCUGAAACAGCCAGGCUCUCAGGAGAGCAUAAUAAACUAACCGAAUCAAAGAUGGGCACGCUGGUCUGGCCUGGCACUCCUAACACCGGUCCUUGAUCAGUUAGACGAGCCGGAGAGAUGUAGAGCCAGCGGCCAUUCGUGCAGAAGUGGCUGAGGCUGAGCAGGAAAGCAGGUCAGAAAGUCAGGGUCUCUAAGCACCACUGUGCUAUAGAGCGUCUCUGACAGGACAGGGCCAUGAACGGGGAACGACAUGAGGUUUAGGCGAGGGGAGGCCAAGAGCACUACUAUAGUUUCUUAUUUAGUAGUGGAUGAGUAUAAUAUGUGUUUUGAAUAUGUUCUUAAAUGCAAUACAGUGAGACUAACAGUAUAGUCAUAAAAAACAUACAUUCACAUUUAUACAGUAGGCUGUGCAGAGAAAAUCGAAGAGAUAUCACAAUAUGUUCCAUCACAGAGUCCAUCAUUUGCCAUGCCGUCUGCUAACCUGAAAUAGACAAGCUAACUUUUUUUUUUUAAUUCAUUAAUUACUAGGAAUUUAGCUCAUAAUAAUCGUGAUGUGCAAUUAGAAACACUUGGACACUGAGAAUUUCCGGCCCGUAUGGGCACCAUAUGUGCAGCCUUCAGUAAAUCAUAUAAAAUUUGCUUCUGUUUAAGCGGUCAGCUCUUUAGAUCCGAGACAUCAUCAGCGUGAUGUGUCCUGAUAUCGAUAACCCAUUAAUUCAACCUUCGCGAGACAUUUUCCAAUGAGAAGCUGUUUCUGACACACACACACACACACAUCAUAGCGCUGGAGAGAUUCCGAACUCUCUCUGCAACCUAGCAACCCGUCACACAUAGACAGGAUCUAGACAGGCACUUUAGGGGAAUUCAAUUCACUUGUCCACAGUGAAUAAGAUUGAAUCACUUAGACAUCUGAGGUGAUUUAAUAGUGUUAACAUACGUAGCGCCUCAGCACAAUGACACAGGGAAAAAGGGGCUCUUAGGAUUAUUACAUUGACUGAAAAAUAAGUCACUUUCCUGGGUUCGCAAAUAUCAUUUUUCUGCAUGAUACUUUCCAGAUAAUAGCAGAUAACUUGAGAAAUAACCAUAUUAUUAAUGUCAAUGUUUAAGAAAUCUGUGCUUUUCCUUGUUAUAUUGGGCAUAUGCGAAACGUUAAGCAGAGCACAUACAGCUAAUGUAUUUACACCUGUGACCAAAUCACACAAAUAUGGAAAUAAAAGUAAUUCCUGCACCAAAUUGCAGGACAAGCAGAGAUAGAGUACUGACUUUCUAUUUGGAGUACUAUUCUGAAAAGUAGUCACAAAUAAUUCAAUACUACCCAACAAAUGUUUC
ensembl:lncRNA